CCUACGGGGGGCAGCAGUAGGGAAUCUUCGGCAAUGGACGAAAGUCUGACCGAGCAACGCCGCGUGAGUGAAGAAGGUUUUCGGAUCGUAAAACUCUGUUGUUAGAGAAGAACAAGGAUGAGAGUAGAACGUUCAUCCCUUGACGGUAUCUAACCAGAAAGCCACGGCUAACUACGUGCCAGCAGCCGCGGUAAUACGUAGGUGGCAAGCGUUGUCCGGAUUUAUUGGGCGUAAAGCGAGCGCAGGCGGUUUCUUAAGUCUGAUGUGAAAGCCCCCGGCUCAACCGGGGAGGGUCAUUGGAAACUGGGAGACUUGAGUGCAGAAGAGGAGAGUGGAAUUCCAUGUGUAGCGGUGAAAUGCGUAGAUAUAUGGAGGAACACCAGUGGCGAAGGCGGCUCUCUGGUCUGUAACUGACGCUGAGGCUCGAAAGCG
rnacentral:rRNA from 1 species